GCUUCCUUGGCUCAGUUGGUAGAGCGUCAGUCUCAUAUCACUUGUCAUCUGAAGGUCGUGAGUUCGAGCCUCACAGGGAGCA